rnacentral:rRNA from 1 species
CGCUGGCGGCGUGCCUAAUACAUGCCCGUAGAACGCUGAAGAGAGGAGCUUGCUCUUCUUGGAUGAGUUGCGAACGGGUGAGUAACGCGUAGGUAACCUGCCUUGUAACGGGGGAUAACUAUUGGAAACGAUAGCUAAUACCGCAUAACAAUGGAUGACACAUGUCAUUUAUUUGAAAGGGGCAAAUGCUCCACUACCAGAUGGACCUGCGUUGUAUUAGCUAGUAGGUGAGGUAACGGCUCACCUAGGCGACGAUACAUAGCCGACCUGAGAGGGUGAUCGGACACGCUGGCACUGACACACGGCCCAGACUCCUACGGGAGGCAGCAGUAGGGAAUCUUCGGCAAUGGGGGCAACCCUGACCGAGCAACGCCGCGUGAGUGAAGAAGGUUUUCGGAUCGUAAAGCUCUGUUGUAAGUCAAGAACGAGUGUGAGAGUGGAAAGUUCACACUGUGACGGUAGCUUACCAGAAAGGGACGGCUAACUACGUGCCAGCAGCCGCGGUCAUACGUAGGUCCCGAGCGUUGUCCGGAUUUAUUGGGCGUAAAGCGCGCGCAGGCCGUUUGAUAAGUCUGAAGUUAAAGGCUGUGGCUCAACCAUAGUUCGCUUUGGAAACUGUCAAACUUGAGUGCAGAAUGGGAGAGUGGAAUUCCAUGUGUAGCGGUGAAAUGCGUAGAUAUAUGGAGGAACACCGGUGGCCAAAGCGGCUCUCUGGUCUGUAACUGACGCUGAGGCUCGAAAGCGUGGGGAGCGAACAGGAUUAGAUACCCUGGUAGUCCACGCCGUAAACGAUGAGUGCUAGGUGUUGGAUCCUUUCCGGGAUUCAGUGCCGCAGCUAACGCAUUAAGCACUCCGCCUGGGGAGUACGACCGCAAGGUUGAAACUCAAAGGAAUUGACGGGGGCCCGCACAAGCGGUGGAGCAUGUGGUUUAAUUCGAAGCAACGCGAAGAACCUUACCAGGUCUUGACAUCCCGAUGCUAUUUCUAGAGAUAGAAAGUUACUUCGGUACAUCGGUGACAGGUGGUGCAUGGUUGUCGUCAGCUCGUGUCGUGAGAUGUUGGGUUAAGUCCCGCAACGAGCGCAACCCCUAUUGUUAGUUGCCAUCAUUCAGUUGGGCACUCUAGCGAGACUGCCGGUAAUAAACCGGAGGAAGGUGGGGAUGACGUCAAAUCAUCAUGCCCCUUAUGACCUGGGCUACACACGUGCUACAAUGGUUGGUACAACGAGUUGCGAGUCGGUGACGGCAAGCUAAUCUCUUAAAGCCAAUCUCAGUUCGGAUUGUAGGCUGCAACUCGCCUACAUGAAGUCGGAAUCGCUAGUAAUCGCGGAUCAGCACGCCGCGGUGAAUACGUUCCCGGGCCUUGUACACACCGCCCGUCACACCACGAGAGUUUGUAACACCCGAAGUAGAAGAGGUAACCUUUUGGAGCCAGCCGCCUAAGGUGGGAUAGAAAAUGGGGGUGAAGUC